UACGUAGGGUGCAAGCGUUGUCCGGAAUUAUUGGGCGUAAAGAGCUCGUAGGCGGUCUGUCGCGUCGAAUGUGAAAACCCGGGGCUCAACCCCGGGCCUGCAUUCGAUACGGGCAGACUAGAGUUCGGUAGGGGAGUCUGGAAUUCCUGGUGUAGCGGUGAAAUGCGCAGAUAUCAGGAGGAACACCAAUGGCGAAGGCAGCUCGCUGGGACGGUACUGACGCUGAGACGCGAAAGCGUGGGGAGCAAACAGG
rnacentral:rRNA from 1 species